AAACGUAGGGGGCGAGCGUUGUCCGGAAUUACUGGGUGUAAAGGGUGCGUAGGCGACUUAGCAAGUCGUAUGUGAAAGUUGCCGGCUUAACCGGCGGAGUGCAUAUGAAACUGUUGAGCUUGAGUGCAGGAGAGGCAAGCGGAAUUCCUAGUGUAGCGGUGAAAUGCAUAGAUAUUAGGAGGAACACCAGUGGCGAAGGCGGCUUGCUGGACUGCAACUGACGCUGAGGCACGAAAGCGUGGGUAGCGAACAGGAUUAGAUACCCUGGUAGUCCACGCUGUAAACGAUGGAUACUAGGUGUAGGAGGUUUUAAUGCCGCCUGUGCCGUAGCGAACGCAAUAAGUAUCCCACCUGGGGAGUACGGCCGCAAGGCUAAA
rnacentral:rRNA from 1 species